GAUGAACGCUGGCGGCGUGCUUAACACAUGCAAGUCGAACGAUGAAGCCCCUGCUUGCAGGGGUGGAUUAGUGGCGAACGGGUGAGUAACACGUGAGCAACCUGCCCCUGACUCUGGGAUAAGCGCUGGAAACGGUGUCUAAUACUGGAUAUGUGCCACGGCCGCAUGGUCUGUGGUUGGAAAGAUUUUUCGGUUGGGGAUGGGCUCGCGGCCUAUCAGCUUGUUGGUGAGGUAAUGGCUCACCAAGGCGUCGACGGGUAGCCGGCCUGAGAGGGUGACCGGCCACACUGGGACUGAGACACGGCCCAGACUCCUACGGGAGGCAGCAGUGGGGAAUAUUGCACAAUGGGCGGAAGCCUGAUGCAGCAACGCCGCGUGAGGGAUGACGGCCUUCGGGUUGUAAACCUCUUUUAGCAGGGAAGAAGCGAAAGUGACGGUACCUGCAGAAAAAGCACCGGCUAACUACGUGCCAGCCGCCGCGGUAAGAC
rnacentral:rRNA from 1 species